rnacentral:lncRNA from 1 species
UACCAAUAGGUGCCCUUCUUUGGGAGACAUUGGAAAACCUCCCUGGUCUCUGUGGUUGAAUCUGGGUUUGAAAGUCACUGCUCGACUGAGGGACCUUACAGAUAAUUGUAUGUGUGGGGUACAGAGAUAGUCAAGUCAAAAAGCAUGUCAAACACUAUUAUUGCACAGUGAGUCCAUUCAACAUUAGUUGCUAAGCAUAUUUUUUACUCCUGAACUUAUCUAGGCUUGCCAUAAAAGGGCUUUUCAUUUUUUAUUAAUUUGUAAAAUUUAGAAAAACUAUUCCACUUUGACAUUAUGGGGUAUUGUGUAUAGGCCAGUGACACAAAAUCUCAAUUGAAUCCAUUAUAAAUUCAGGCUGUAACACAAGAAAAUGUGGAAAAAAUAAAGGUGUGUCAAUACUUUGAAGGCAAGGUACACAGUGACACUUGCUUUCCCUUCCUAAAGUGUCACUACAUUUACUUCCCUACUAAAUUGGAGUACAUCACUUUAAGUUCCAGUGUGUAUUGAGACGUUUGGAUGGACCUUAAAGUCCUCCGGUUGUGGUGCUCAUGUACUGUAUCCUCGGUCGACUACAAAGUAUUUUGAAUAUGGUAGGGAAACUCACUGCGCUGUAUGUAUUUUUGAACAAUGCCAUAACAAUGUCAUCUGCCUUGUUUAGAGUGGUUUACCAGAUGGCUUCCAUGGAGUUUCUCAACCUCCACCAAAUAGGGAAUUGCCAUUGACAGCAAGUAAACAACCAGAACACCAACUGCCGCCAAUGUAAACAUCUUAAGGUAGCAGACGUCUCUGCUACAUUCAAAACCACGGGUGCAGUUGUCAGGUAAAAACAACAUCCUCCUUACACUACCUCUCAAACGCUUUCCCAACCCAGACUCAACUCUUACAAUCUCUACCCCAAAUGUUGAAUUAACGUUGAAUGAAUGUAUUCACUGUAUACAUAUUAUCCGUAUAGGCUCGGUAAAAGGUCAUAAAGCAUCCAGUGACGGGUGGAAAUGAAGACCACACAGCUUGAAGAGAUCAGGUUGAAGAGGGAGGACAUAUUUAACUUGUGGGUCAUAGGUCAAACUCUCUCCCUUUCCAUCUCCCCCGCUCUCUUUCACUAUCUAUCACGGCACAAGGCGAGACCCAGAUGCAGACACAGGAGGCAGAUGGUUGGAGUCUUACAGUGUUUAAUAACCCAAAGGGGUAGGCAAGAGAAUGGUCGUGGACAGGCAAAAAAGUCAAAAACAGAUUAGCGUCCAGGAGGUACAGAGUGGCAGACAGGCUCGUGGUCAAGGCAGGCAGAAUGGUCAGGCAGGCAGGUACAGAGUCCAGAAACAGGCAAGGGUCAAAACCAGGAGGACUAGAAAAAGGAGAAUAGCAAAAAGGAGUAUGGGAAAAACACGCUGGUUGACUUGACUAAACAUACAAGACAAACUGGCACAGAGUGACAGGAAACACAGGGAUAAAUACACUGGGGGAAAGAAGCGACCUCUGGAGGGAGUGGAGACAAUCACAGGAACAGGUGAAACAGAUCAGGGCGUGACAUUCUCACCUUUCUCCUUCCCUCUUUCUGUCCCUCGACCCCUCUCUUUCUAUCACCCCACCUCUCUCUUUCUUUACCUACAUGUAUACUCCACUCUUUUCCUCUUCUGACCCCCUCUCUCUCCUUCAUUCUCACCCUUUCUCUCUCUCAGCCUGGCUGUUAUUUCUCCGUAUGUUUUGACUAUGUGCUACCUAAGCUGGUCUAUGCUGUGGGCCUGUGGCAGGUCUCUGGCAGACAGCAGUGUCAAGUUGGAGGGAGGGUUGGUGGGCUGUGUGUGACAUGGAGAAGGGCCCACCGGCACCGCAGCAGCUCCGCUGAGGCCAGGUCUUCAGCUGUCCCACCCUGCCUCUGCUUACAGUCACUAUCAAUCCAGCUGAUCCAGAAGCAGCCCGACCUUGACCUGACAGAUCAACACUGCUCUCUGUCUCUCUUUUAUUGGAUGGAAUGCUCCUUGGUCCACAAGAGAGGAUGGAUGGAGAGAAGAUGGAUGGAGACUAAAGAUGGAUGAAUAGAGGAUAGACUAGAGAUGGAUGGAGAGAGGAUGGAUGGAGAGAGGAUGAAUAGAGGAUAGACUAGAGAUGGAUGGAGAGAGGAUGGAUGGAGAGAGGAUGGAUAGAGACUAGAGAUUGAUGGAGAGAGGAUGGAUAGAGGAUAGAGACUAGAUAUGGAUGGAGAGAGGAUGGAUAGAGGAUAGAGACUAGAUAUGGAUGGAGAGAGGAUGGAUAGAGGAUAGAGACUAGAUAUGGAUGGAGAGAGGAUAGAGACUAGAUAUGGAUGGAGAGAGGAUGGAUAGAGGAUAGAGACUAGAUAUGGAUGGAGAGAGGAUGGAUAGAGGAUAGAGACUAGAUAAGGAUGGAGAGAGGAUGGAUAGAGGAUAGAGACUAGAUAUGGAUGGAGAGAGGAUGGAUAGAGGAUAUAGACUAGAUAUGGAUGGAGAGAGGAUGGAUAGAGGAUAGAGACUAGAUAUGGAUGGAGAGAGGAUGGAUUGAGAGAGGCGUGGGUGUGGAUGAAUGGUAAGUGGAGGACCUGCAGUACUAAAAGCCGGCGACCCAGACAAUACACACCUACUCACAGGGACCUAACACCACUCACAGGACUGCUCCUUGGAUCACUGCUACCACAUGCUAAAACACUUAGAUACCACACACACAAACAGCAAAAUGUGAAGUUCCAAGCACAUUCAAAAUACAUUCCUGAGACACACACUACCAGUCAGUCAGAGACAUAAACACACGUUAUUGUGUGUGUUGUUGCCAUGCGAUGGUGAUGAGCAGCACAUGACAUGAAUGGGGCGUGGAGCCCAACCUCUUAUCAGACAAAGGAGAUACACA